UUGGCAAACCAAAGCAAAAAUCACAGGACCUGUGUAGGACCUGUGUUUCUUAUGAGCAGAAGCAGCAACCAGAUCAUUACUACCACCAAUAUAAAAACAUGCACUGGUCUAUUUUUCCACUUCCCCAUCAUUCCACUACCCUUCCAGCACCUCAAAACUAGGUUCGCUAAGUGAAACAAGCUAGACACAAAAGGAGAAAUAUGGCGUGAUUCCAUUUAUAUAAGUUAUCUAGAAUAUGCAAGUUUAUAGAGACAGAUGGUAGAUUAGAGGUUACCAGGAACUUGGGGGAAAGAAGGUAAGGGAGUUGUUGCUUGCUAGAGUUUCUGUUUGAGGUGAUUAAAAAGUUUUGGAAAUGGAUAAUGGCAAUGGCUGUAUAACAUUGUGAAUAUAAUGAAUGUCACAAAUAAUACAUAUAAAACUGGUUACAAUGGCAAAUUUUAUGUCAUCUACAUUGCACUAUAAUUUAAAAACUUAAUAAUAAUCACACUGAUAUCCACUGCUCAUCUGUCUGAACUUCUAAACAUCCUCAUUCCAAUUUACUUUUACCACAUUAUUCUCCCUUUUGGCAGGUAACUUCGCAACUUUCCCAUGGAUCCCCCGAUACCAACUUCAUAUCUGCACUACAACUGAAAAGACCAUUUUCCAGACAUACUUGCAGAUAUGUUGGCUUCCCUAUCAAAUGUUCCAAAUAGGAGGUUCUGGUACUACUUCAUCUCCCUUGCCCCCUUGCCACCUGAGUAAUUAACCAUGGCCACAGAAUCUCAAGAUAU
rnacentral:lncRNA from 1 species